AAGUGAUUGAACAAAAUGACAUUCACAGAUUAUUUACAAAUCUGCAUACAAUCUGUGUACAUAUACAUAUAUCAAACAUGUUUGAGAAGAGAAGUAGAACCCCAAAGCUUAAAAUUGUUAUUCUUUGUUUUGAACUUGCUACGUCGAGUCGGGUUGCUGUUUUUGGGUGUGAGUCGAGUCGGGGUGGUGGCUGAACUAGGCGGAGAUUUCGCAGAGGGAGGCCGUGGCGCGGCGGUCCUGCCGCUGUCGUCCGGCCACGGACGGAGGGAGAGCAGGGUAGAGAGGGAGGAAGCGGCGCUCUCGCCGUUUCCAAGGAGGAAGACGUCGCGGAUAGUGUGAGGUGUGGGAUUUGGCUGUGAGAGAGGGUCGGAGACGGCGUCGCCUGAUCUACAGGCGGCGGCCGGAGAUUCGAGGGAGAAGGGCAGACCGACGGUGGUUGAUUUCAGCUGCUACGGCCGCCAGGGUCUGUAGAUAGGGGGAAAGGUGAGGGAGAUGGCCGACCUCGGCACUUCGUCGGAGGGGGAGCCGCGGCGGUCGGGAAUUCGAAAGAGGCGGCGGACUGGUGAAGCACCGAGAAAGAGAGAGAGAGAGAGAGGUGCCAGCUUGUGUGUGAGUGAUCGGACGAAAAUGGGGUGGGUUGAGGAAGAAGGG
rnacentral:lncRNA from 1 species